GACCGUCGGCUCCUCUCAAAUGAAUCAGCUUGCCAGUGUUUGGUGGCGUCACGGGUGUGAUAACUAUCUACGCUCGUGGUUUUCCACCAGGUAACCUUCAGUGAUGGAGGUUCGCUGGGGCUCACAGAAGUCUCUCCUCAGGGAGGACAGCUUUUUGAACGUUUGAUCUCAAAUCAGGUAGGACUACCCGCUGAACUUAA
rnacentral:misc_RNA from 1 species